CACAAUAUUUAUCUUAAGCUGAUGUCAAGGCCAGCCCAAACGAGGACCACCAUGAUCAAUGGCUCAGGGCCCGAUUUUUUAGAAGCCUAAUUUUUGAAAAAAAAAAAAAACAAAUAAUAGAUGACAUAUUGACAUCUAUAAGAGUAUUAAAGCGCAUAGACUGAUAAACAGAAAAUUACUACUAUUAAGCGCCUAACUUUGGAGUAUAUUAUUUUCAAUUCCCAUAAAAACCCUUGAACUUCCCAAAUUUAAAUUAAACUUUCUCUUUUUUCUUGCCAUUAAUGAAAUUACAGGAUUUUCAGGAGACAAUUUCACUGUUGAUAUUUCUUAUCUCUAAUUUCUAAAAUUACAAAGAUGUGAAGAAUUCAACAAAACUGCAUUAAAAGUGAAGGGAAAGAUGUAUUGGUAGUAGCAGACAACAUCAACAACAAAUUAGGGAACUGAUGACCACUAGACAUUCAUUGUUGAUGGGGUGCUUGGCUUGUUGAAAGCUACUCGUUGGCAGUUUUGUGUCGAGGAUGCUGUUGUGAUGUUAUCUGUUCGUCGAGUUGAGUUCUGCAAUCGAGGGAAUA